rnacentral:lncRNA from 1 species
AGUAUGUGAGAUAGCCAUAUUACUGGAGGCCACUGCAUAAAGGCAGUUAUUUGAAUAUAUUAGUCCAUAAUACCACUGACAGUGGAGUUGGGAGUGAUGUUUCUCUACCCUGGUUCUUUCUGGCAUGUUGGCACUGAUGGAUGGGGCAGAUGUGUAAUGAAUAAGGUCUUCACUGUUUCUCAUCGGAUUUUGAAAACCUGAAGUAUAGAAACAUUGUUUAGAUGCAAUGAACAUUUCCUUGGGAUCUAAUAAAGACCCUGAAAUGAGGGUACUUAAGUCACUGGAGGGAAGGGAUUCUCAGUCCUGAAUAUUCUAGAAAAAAGCUCAAUAAAACUCAGUAAUGCAGAAAGUUUUUCCUUUGGUCAAAUGGGAUUCCUCACUGAUUCUAAAAAUAUAACACACAUGCCAUUUCUGUUUCCAGAAUUUAGAAACAGAAUGAAUGGUUUCUUAGAACCCUGGCAAAAAGAGUCUUUAUUCAUGGCCAUUGUCUUCCUUCUCCUCCUUCUUUAUAAUAGUCUUCCAUUUAUUUGAGACUCCAAUUAAGUGCCAGCUCAUUCGUGUGUGUGUGUGUGUGUGUGUGUGUGUGUGUGUGUGUGUAUAAAACUUCCCUGAGUACCUCAGCUACACAGUAAAUAGGAUCCUUAGAAUGCCUUUGGUGAAUAUGUAAUUUACUGGUUUGUAUUAUUUACUGUACCAUGUGUGUAUGCCUUAUCUCCUGAAAUGAAUUGGAAAUUCUCUGCAGGAAGGAAUAUUCAUUGUACUUCAGCUGUUAGAAAAUGCUGCUGGGAAUGUUGGAUGUUAAGGAUGGUUGGACAAGUAAGGAGGGCUGUUCCAGUAGGAACGCUUUGAGUGUAAAAAAGUCAAUUGGUCAGAAAAAGGAAGAGUUCAAAAACGCAUAUAUUGGAUGGAAAAAAGUAUUGAAAAUCAACUUGAAGUUUUAUGAAUUUGAGAUGAAGGAGGCCAAGUAUUGAUUGGAAACCAUUGAUAUAUGACCAAGGGUUUUUAGAGGAAGAAGAAGAAAUUUAAAUUUCAUAUUUAGCAAAAGAAAAAUUGAGGGUGAAAUUAGACCCAUUAAAAGGUGUGUGGUGGGUCUGUUUUAGUUGCGUUGCCGUCUGUGUUCGGCACAACAUAACUUUUGUAUUUUUCACAUAGGAAAACUACUGUAGAAUCUGUCUCUUGCAAAUACCUACUGAUCUUGAUGAUUGCAUUUGAAGUGACUCUUUGUGGUCCCAGGAAUGAAACAGUUGCAGGAUGGUUAUUUAAUUUCACAUUUAAAUGGGUAGUCUCCUUCUUAUUUCUUACCUCUUCUGACCAAAGUCAAAAUAAUGUAGACCUUAACAACAGAUACUAUGAGGAUUGUUAGUACCUAUUUUCAAUGUCUUUAAUGGGGCUAACUCUUGCUUAGACUGUGUUCCUUCUAUUCUAAGUUUUUCUGACAACACUAAGAUAAUUUGCUUUUUCAUGCUGGAGACGUGCAAACAAAAAAUGAAAUUUCCGACAUUGUCCCUUAUCUAUCCUUUUAAUAUUAUUUUCCUGUUUUAAGAUUGUUUAAUGAUUCUCAGUCUUUUUUUUUUUUUUUUUUUGGUGGAAUUUUCCAUUAUACUGAGGUUAGAAACAGGAUGGUUUCUUAGAAUCCAGUCAAAAAUGGUCAUUGUUCAGGAUUUCCUGUCUUGGCUCAGUGGUAAUGAACCCCUUGGGAACUUCGAUAUGCUGCAUAUGUGCGCCACCCCCGCCAAAAAAGAAAAAAAAGUUCAUUGUUCAUGGCCACUUAGCUUCAGGUUACAGGGAAGACAUUAGAAGGCAUGCAAAUUCACAUCACAGGCCAUGAAACAAUAUUCAGUCACAUUGGCUCUUGUAGGCUCACCUUUUAAAGAUGAGGUAUAAUAAAUUUAAAAAUGGAAAUACGAAAGAAUUUUUUAGUCUUCAUCUCCUACAUUGCCUGAAUCUCACUUGUAUUCAUAAUUUAAAUGCCCAGAUCUAAAUGCAGACUUUUGAACAUCUGAAUGUAAUUCUUAGAGUUACUAAGAGUGGAGACUAUUUCUAGGAUCUCUACUUUGUAUAUAAGUUUGGAUGUAUAGCAAAGUCUUUUAUACAAUUUCUCUCUUUCUUUGUGGAAAAAAUAAGUAUUUAUAGCUGUGAACUGGAGACUGGCACUUUUCUCCCUCUGCAGGGAUUGAAUCAUGAACCAGUGAAGCUGCUGACGCUCAACACCCCCUGAAAGGAGCUCAGGGUGGAGAUCAGGUGUGAGGCACUCUGUGCUCUGGGAAAACUGACAGAACAAGUCUUCAGAUAGUUAGAUAUUGUCAGGAGAAGAAUUUAUGAACUCAAAUUCCUGAAUCUCUGCAUAUCUAGAAAAGCACCAAAAUCCUUCAUGGUGACGUCUGCUCCUCAUGACUAGCAUUGACCUUCUGUAAAAUGUGUGCUUGGUUGCAUGGACCUCCCCCUUCACUAAAAUCCUGUGUAUACUGACAUCCUACGUGCCUCUUUGGAAUGGUACUUCAGAUCUCUCUGAAAUGCUGCCUCCUGGGCUCUCAUCCUCAUUUUGCCCCAGAGAAAACUCAACUCUUGACUUUUAGUUUGUGCAUAUUUUUUAGGUCGACCUAGCCAAAGUUUCCCUGAGAAUAAGUGUAAUAUUUAGAGGACUUUUAAUAUAAAACAGAGGAGCAGUGAGCUAGAGAAGAGAGAAAAAUGAUAACUGAGACAUUUAUAAACCAGUGGUGAUUAAAUUGUUGGUUGUACGUGGAAUGUAUCAUUAUGUCAGUCAAAUUAAUAUUUUUAAAUUAUUUUCAAUACAUUGAUCUCACCAUUCAUAGUAAAACCUGAAUAUUUUGUGAAGAGAGAAGGCUGCAGACUAUAAGUGCCCUAACGGUAGUGAUCCCGUUUAUUUUGGUUCACCUUUGUAUCCUUAGCCUCCAGCCCAGCACUGGAAACAUGGAAGGUGAUAAAUAAAUAUUUCUUGAUAAAAUGGAUGGAUACAAAUGGAACAAAGAUAUCAUUCUGCAAAUAAUUUAAAAAAUAAGGUUGGUUAAACUGAGUUCUUGAAGAAGAGGCUAAUUCAAAUGUUUGGUCAUUUCUACUAUUGUCCAAAGCAGCAAAAAGCACACACAGCCUCUAAGCUGGCACCUAGGGAAAAGCUCAAGUAGACUUAAAGAGCAGGUGACACUGACCUGUCUUCAUGAGAUAUGUAUUCCCCAUGCCUUGCUUUGACUGUGCUCCCUGCGAUUUUAUUUUACUGGCAGCAAGUUUACUAAAGAAACAGAGACAGACUCACUAUCAAUAAAAACCUUCUGGGAGCUUGGUGGAAGCAUAUUAACUGCCUGGAUAACAGCAACUUGUUGUUGUGUCUCCACUGUCCAGUAUGGUGGCCACAUGCCACACGUGGCCUUUGAGCCCUAGUACAACUGAAGAACUGGAGUUUUAAUUAAUUUAACUAAUUAAAAUUUAAAUAGUUGUAUCGGCUAAUGGUUCUCAUGUUGGUCAGCAUGGUUAUUUUUUUUUUUUUAUUGUCUUUUUAGGGCUGCACCCACGGCAUAUGGAAGUUCCCAGGCUAGGGGUCGAAUCAGAGCUGUAGCUGCUGGCCUAUACCACAGCCACAGAAACAGCCAGAUCUGAGCCACAUCUGCGACCUACACCACACCUCAUGGCAAUGCCAGAUCCUUAACCUACUGAUCGAGGCCAGGGGUUGAACCCGAGUCCUCAUGAUGCUAGUCAGAUUUGUUUCUGCUGAGCCACAACGGGAACUCCUUAGACAGUAGAGUUCUUGAUUAUACCCCUCAGUGUUUCACAGGGUAAGGAGCACAGGUUUGAGGUCAGACUGAAACAGAAUUUGAACCUAGUCUUGUUACAUUGCUAUUUACGGUCACAUAAACUUUGCCAAAUCAGUGGAGUUAAUACUUCAGGGGAGAAUGAAAAUUAAUUGAUAUCACUUAUAUGCAUAUGGCAGAUGAAGCCAUAUUUGGCCUCCUUUCUUUUUUUAAUCUUAUUUCUCAAUGGCAUGAAGCUUCUGUGGAUUCUUGUGCCCUAUUGGUGUUGAGGAUAAAAAGGGAGGCAAGGCAUUAAUGUCAAAAACUGGACGUGGCCUCAUUGGUGAGCGGUCCUGUUCUCAGGAUGGCUUAAGAUCAAUUACUCUGAAAACCUAGUCAUUAUUUUUGGCAGUCAUUCUCCAAAUAUAAUUGGCUUAUAGCAAAAGUCCUAUUUAACUCAUUUAGUUACAUGGGAUUAAAUUUUUUAUCCCAUUUAUCUUGGAGGUCUACCAAGAAGUUACCUUCAUUAAAAGUAGAUGUCCUUUGGGUGGAAUAUUGAAAAACUUUUACAUGUUGUAAAUGGGUAAUUUGCAACACCUGCUUUAAAAAUUCUUUGGGAUAAAAAUACUAUUUAUGGGCUGUGUAGUGAAGAACUUUGAGACUUUUGCUUCAAGGGGACCUGUGGGCUAUUUGCUGAAAAAACUUGACCAUUUCUGCCAACCUCCCCUUUGCUCAUCUCCAUGUAUAAAUUUCAGAGCUCGCUAUUCAAGCAUAAAUCCUUAACUUUUAUCAGAGGAUUAAAACCCUAAUCUUUUUCUUUGUUUAUGCACAAAAUAAAUCAAUAUGUUCUUAAUCAGCAGCAUAGAUUGAUUUACAGGUUCUUCCCAAGGAGCUUUAACUCUUAAACUUAGCCCGAAUGUCAGUCUAGAACCUUUCUUCAGGGUGACUGGAAGCCAAGGCAGUCAUCUCUUCAUCUUGCUACUCUCAAUUUUAGUCUUGGGUCAAGUCAGACUGCCAGAGAACCAUUUAUUUAGACAAUCAGACAAUAGCUUUGGCCUUUAAAAAACUGCAUUUACAUUUGCAAUUUCCCCUUGGUUUUAUGCACAUGCUCAUGUGAAGGGAUGUUGUCUGAGAAAUGCUGCUCUAUUUGGGCAUUAAUUGUGGGCUGGUGCUCACAGCAUAACACCUCAUAGGUCUUGGUACAGGAGGAAAAACUCCACUCCUGAAUAUUUUCUCCUUUUGACCACUGUUAGUUUUUUAAAUCGCUAUUUCCCAAACCAUAUCUGCAGAUCUCUUUUCGUAACAAGGCCGACAAGGAAAAGCGUUCUGUGCCUCACACUAUGUUCUUAGUGUGUUAGCUUGCUGAUGGUGGUAAAUAGUCCUGUGAUUAGGAAGAAACAGACAUUAGCUUUGUUUUAAUUCUGUAUUUGCCAAUUUUUCUUGCAUAGAAAGAGAGUCAGAGAGAGACACAGAGACAGAGAGAGGCACAGAGAUUUUCAAUCAGGAUCCAGCAGAACAGCAUUAAGCAGAUACUCAUUUGAGGAAUACUACUGCAACUUCAUGACUUCCUUCUUUAGCUUGUUUUGGCUGCCAGGAGGCUCAGAGUGAAAUCUGCGCAUGUUUUAACCUCAGUGCCACCGUUGUUGCUGGACUGGACAAACUAUCCAUGGACGUAAUGGUAAAGGUUCAUGUCCCGUUUGGUCCCACCCACUUUGAGCUGUGGCUGAGCUACCUCUGUGCCUGUUGGGCUCCCUGACCCCACAAGCACCUGGAAUUUUGUAGUCCCUCUCUCUCCACUAUGUGACAUCAGGCUCUGCCUUAUCUUUCUCAUUUGUUUUAAACUGCUCAGCUCACCUUAUUCUAGUCUAAGCAUUUAACUGACUUACACUUGACUUUCAGUUCAGUUCUUCCAAAGUCCCAUAAUGAAGGCAGAUCCAUAGAUGCAUCCAUCAGCCUCACAUUAUCUCUUAUUUCUGUAGCUUUACUAUCCAGUCUCUUCUGAUUUAUCCAGGGAGCCCUACACACAUGAUUGUUAGCACAGAUUCUGAUAUUCUAGUAUGCAUCUUUUUUGAGGGGGGGUGGUAGGCUGUACCGAGGCAUAUGGAAGUUCCCAGGCCAGGGAUUAAACCGGAGCUGAUACAGAGGCAUCGUUAGAUGCUUAAUGCACUAUGCCACAGCAGGAACUCCUAGAAGGCAUCUCUUAAGGUCCUUUAGUCCCGUUAUCUUUUUCUAUUCUUUAACUCUUUUUGCUUCAAACUCCCAACUUAUUUACUUAUGAUUCUGUUUUCCUGUACAUAUCUCUUGAAAGUGGUAUAAAUAAAUGAUUGUUUUUAGUAACUGAAAUAAAUCAAUUACUCUUUUUCUGAUACCCAAGGAGUAGAGCUGGGCAGAAGUGGGAUAUGAUGGGGUGUUGGUAAGUCAUCCUGGAGAAUGGCAGAGGUCGGGCAAAGCUGGGUCAACACACACCUCUUAGAGGUGCUUGAGAUGGUGGAAUAAAAGAUGGAAUUAAAAAUUGCUUCUUGGAGAUUCCGUUGUGGCUCAGUAUGUUAAAAACCUGACAAAGUGUCCUUGAGGAUACGGGUUCAAUCUUUGGUCUCCCUCAGUGGGUUAAGGAUCCUGCAUUUCCACAAGCUGUGGCAUAGGUCAAAGAUGUGGCUCUGAUCUGGCAUUGCUUUGGCUGUGACAGGCUGGCAGCUGCAGCUCCGAU